GCUUCAACUUUCGUCUGAAGCCAGCAAUGGUGUGAACGGAGUUUUU
rnacentral:rRNA from 1 species